GUCUACGGCCAUGCCAAGCCUGAACAAGCCCGAUCCCAUUUGAUCUCAGAAAGUAAGCAGGGUCAGGACUGGUUAGUACUUGGAUGGGAGACCACCUCGGAAGACCAGGUGCUGUAGGCA
rnacentral:rRNA from 1 species